UCAUGGACUUGCUCUGCAUGGCGGGCUCCCUGCACUUCUGUGCAGCCAACCGUCAUGGGGCUGUCUCUUCAUUUUCCGUCCGGUCGGUUUGUAUGCUGAUCGGGGAUGCUCGUUACCGGUUGCCUGUGUCGUUAUACCCAUGUGGUAGGCGGAAUGGACGGUCUUUUGCUAGCGUAGACUGCCCCGUUGAUGUUCUGUCGUCAGCGGGGCGGCCGAGGUGCGGCGAAUUCCUCUUGCUGCCGUGCGCGCAAGCCAUGGUAAUGCAUUUGGAAGCUCGUCGGGUCUCAUGGAUACGGUGCCCAUUGUGAGCUCUGCAGGCUUCAUGUCCGCAGGCCUCGCGAGGUUGCCCCUGCACGGAUCAUCGCUCUCUCUCGCUCCGCGCACACGCCUCGCCUAUGUGCGGCGUGUUGAGUCGGUGCGGUCGGGGCGUGAUGCAUGUAAGCGCGGCAUGCCCCUCUCAUCGAAUGACCCGCGAUCGCCGGUAAUCGCCGUCAUGAGGCCCUACCUUCUGGGUGGGCGCCGGAGACGACGUUUCGGCCAUCGUUUAGGAUGUGC
rnacentral:misc_RNA from 1 species